rnacentral:rRNA from 1 species
GACGAACGCGGCGGCGUGCUAAUACAUGCAAGUAGAACGCUGAAGGAGGAGCUUGCUUCUCUGGAUGAGUUGCGAACGGGUGAGUAACGCGUAGGUAACCUGCCUGGUAGCGGGGGAUAACUAUUGGAAACGAUAGCUAAUACCGCAUAAGAGUAGAUGUUGCAUGACAUUUGCUUAAAAGGUGCAAUUGCAUCACUACCAGAUGGACCUGCGUUGUAUUAGCUAGUUGGUGAGGUAACGGCUCACCAAGGCGACGAUACAUAGCCGACCUGAGAGGGUGAUCGGCCACACUGGGACUGAGACACGGCCCAGACUCCUACGGGAGGCAGCAGUGGGGAAUCUUCGGCAAUGGACGGAAGUCUGACCGAGCAACGCCGCGUGAGUGAAGAAGGUUUUCGGAUCGUAAAGCUCUGUUGUAAGAGAAGAACGAGUGUGAGAGUGGAAAGUUCACACUGUGACGGUAUCUUACCAGAAAGGGACGGCUAACUACGUGCCAGCAGCCGCGGUAAUACGUAGGUCCCGAGCGUUGUCCGGAUUUAUUGGGCGUAAAGCGAGCGCAGGCGGUUAGAUAAGUCUGAAGUUAAAGGCUGUGGCUUAACCAUAGUACGCUUUGGAAACUGUUUAACUUGAGUGCAAGAGGGGAGAGUGGAAUUCCAUGUGUAGCGGUGAAAUGCGUAGAUAUAUGGAGGAACACCGGUGGCGAAAGCGGCUCUCUGGCUUGUAACUGACGCUGAGGCUCGAAAGCGUGGGGAGCAAACAGG